CACGCAGUAAACGAUGAGUACUAGCUGUUGGAGUCGGUGUAAAGGCUCUAGUGGCGAAGCUAACGCGAUAAGUACUCCGCCUGGGGACUACGGCCGCAAGGCUAAAACUCAAAGGAAUUGACGGGGACCCGCAAAAGCGGUGGAGCAUGUGGUUUAAUUCGAUGCAACGCGAAGAACCUUAACUGGUCUUGACAUCCUGCGAACUUUCUAGAGAUAGAUUGGUGCCUUCGGGAACGCAGUGACAGUUGCUGCACGGCUGUCGUCAGCUCGUGUUGUGAAAUGUUGGGUUAAGUCCCGCAACGAGCGCAACCCCUAUUG
rnacentral:rRNA from 1 species